AAGUCGUAACAAGGUUUCCGUAGGUGAACCUGCGGAAGGAUCAUUAUUGAAUAAACUUGGUUAGGUUGCUGCUGGCUCCUUGGAGCAUGUGCACACCUAGCACCAUUUUUACCACCUGUGCACCCUUUGUAGACCUGGAUACCUCCCGAGGAAACUCGGUUUGAGGACUGCUGUGCGAAAGCCAGCUUUCCUUGCAUUUCCGGUCUAUGUCUUUAUAUACCCCAUAAGAAUGUAACAGAAUGUUAUUAACUGGCCUUUGUGCCUUUAAUCAAAUACAA
rnacentral:misc_RNA from 1 species